rnacentral:tRNA from 1 species
GGGGAUGUAGCUCAGAUGGUAGAGCGCUCGCUUAGCAUGCGAGAGGUACUGGGAUCGAUACCCAAUAUCUCCA